CAUCUUCUUUCGUCUUCUCUUUCUUUCUUCCUCUGUUCUUCUUCUUCUCUGUCCGUAGCCUCUGGUGAUUUGAAGGGUAAGAUGAUGGUUCUGUGAUCAGUAGAAGGUGGAUAAGAUCAUUUAAUAGUCGAUGGUGAUGAUGAUGGCGAUGGGGUCUGUAAUCGAUUCAAAAUUAAAAGAGGAAGUAAAUUAGUAAGAGUAGAAUUAGGGUUUCUCUGAGGGUGUGUAGAAGUUCGAUUGAUUAUGGAUAAGGAAGAAUUAGAAGAUGGGUUUGUUCUUUAUUGAUGUUUGAUGGAAGAUAUGGGUUGUUUGAGGAUUGAAUCAGUAAGUUAGGGUUUCUCAGAGAAUUUAGUUGGUGUUCAUUUUGGUAAUGAAUAUGGAGAAUUAAGGAUGGGUUUGGUCCAUUGAGGAACGUGAUGAAGUCAAUUAAAUGUUGGAGUUGUUCUAGGGAAGAACUGAAGAAAUUAGGGUUUUUUCUUGAGUAUUUUGGAUUAGUAGAAGCAGGGGAUAUGAUUCUGGAAAUGGAUUAGAGGUGGAUGUAUGGUUUGGGUUGAUGUGAUGAAUGAACCGAAUCGAUGGGUUGUUGUAGCUUUAGGAAGAAUUGCAAAAUCCCUCUAAGUAACAAGAUGCGUUGAUUUGUAUUGCUGGAGUGGAAUUAAAUUGAGUGAUGCUGCACAAUUGGUGGUGUUGGAGUGAUCUGGUUUGAGAUGGAUCAUAGGUUGGUUUCAGUUGUGGAGUUUGGAAGUGAAUUUUGGAGAAUGAAUUGUGCAGGUGAGAUACAAAUGAUAGUGGUUUGAAGUUCUGGUAGAAUUAGAUUGAGAUGGUGUUAUGUAGUUGUGGGGAAGUUCUUGUUUUACAAGACUGCAAGGUGUAUUGAACUGUAAGAGGUAAUGGAUAUGCAGUGUUGUUUGUUGUCGCAACUGAAGUGUAGACUAGAAGUUAGUAGUGUUAUAGUUAUUGGAACAUGAGUGUACUUGGGAGAUGUUUGAGAAGAAGUUGAUUGUAAUGAUGUUAGCAGUGGCCUUAGUGAAAAGCUUAAAGCUGCAAUUUGUAUUUGAGAAUAAGUUAUAUAGUUUUUUUUAAAUGAAUGAAUUGAUAUUGUGUUUAUCUUGC